UGGCUCAGAUGGUAAAGCGUCUGCCUGCAAUGCGGGAGACCUGGGUUCGAUUCCUGG
rnacentral:tRNA from 1 species